ensembl:miRNA Mir8106 microRNA 8106
GAAGACAGUCUUGUUGGAAAAACAGCUUUACAAAGUGAAACAUAAAUCCCAUGUGCAGAGUCACUGAGUAGCUGAGGUGACUCUGUACAUGGGAUUUAUGUUUUACAUUUCUGUGAUUUCUCACCGAGCAGCUGAGGUG